UACGUAGGGGGCAAGCGUUGUCCGGAUUUAUUGGGCGUAAAGGGCGCGCAGGCGGCGCUUCAAGUCCGUUGUGAAAUUUCAGGGCUUAACCCUGACGGGUCAACGGAAACUGAAGGGCUAGAGUGCAGCAGAGGAAAGCGGAAUUCCCGGUGUAGUGGUGAAAUGCGUAGAUAUCGGGAGGAACACCAGAGGCGAAAGCGGCUUUCUGGGCUGUAACUGACGCUGAGGCGCGAAGGCUAGGGGAGCAAAGCAGG
rnacentral:rRNA from 1 species